UACGGGGGGGGCAAGCGUUGUUCGGAAUUACUGGGCGUAAAGGGCUCGUAGGCGGCCAACUAAGUCAGACGUGAAAUCCCUCGGCUUAACCGGGGAACUGCGUCUGAUACUGGAUGGCUUGAGGUUGGGAGAGGGAUGCGGAAUUCCAGGUGUAGCGGUGAAAUGCGUAGAUAUCAGGAGGAACACCGGUGGCGAAGGCGGCGUCCUGGACCAACACUGACACUGAGGAGCGAAAGCCAGGGGAGCAAACGGG
rnacentral:rRNA from 1 species